UGGAGAGUUUGAUCCUGGMUCAGAUUGAACGCUGGCGGCAUGCCUUACACAUGCAAGUCGAACGGCAGCAUGAUCUAGCUUGCUAGAUUGAUGGCGAGUGGCGAACGGGUGAGUAAUACAUCGGAACGUGCCCUGUAGUGGGGGAUAACUAGUCGAAAGAUUAGCUAAUACCGCAUACGACCUGAGGGUGAAAGUGGGGGACCGCAAGGCCUCAUGCUAUAGGAGCGGCCGAUGUCUGAUUAGCUAGUUGGUGAGGUAAAGGCUCACCAAGGCGACGAUCAGUAGCUGGUCUGAGAGGACGAUCAGCCACACUGGACUGAGAACACGGCCCAGAUUCUUACGGGGAGGCAGCAGUGGGGAAUUUUGGACAAUGGGGGCAACCCUGAUCCAGCAAUGCCGCGUGUGUGAAGAAGGCCUUCGGGUUGUAAAGCACUUUUGUCCGGAAAGAAAUCGCACUUACUAAUAUUAGGUGUGGAUGACGGUACCGGAAGAAUAAGGACCGGCUAACUACGUGCCAGCAGCCGCGGUAAUACGUAGGGUCCAAGCGUUAAUCGGAAUUACUGGGCGUAAAGCGCACGCAGGA
rnacentral:rRNA from 1 species